GCAAAUAUAGAUUUAUGUUCUCGUGGAAUAUGGGUAUGUUUCUUAUUUCUGCAGUUUACGGGAGCGGAUUGCCGAUGGAUAGAGGCGGCUGCAUACUACCCGGUGCUUGUAGUCUGACUGGUGUUAUAUUUUGAUACAAAAUUUUUACUGUCCAUAUAUUGAUGGAAUAAGAGAUGUUAUAUUUUGAGACAAUGGGUGUUGCACCAAAUUUACGUAAAAAAUUGUGAGUAAUAUUGUGG
rnacentral:lncRNA from 1 species